UACAGAGGAGCCAAGCGUUGUCCGGAUUGACUGGGCGUAAAGCGCACGUAGGCGGCUAUUCAAGUCGGGGGUGAAAGCCCGGGGCUCAACCCCGGAACUGCCCUCGAAACUAGAUAGCUAGAAUCUUGGAGAGGCGAGUGGAAUUCCGAGUGUAGAGGUGAAAUUCGUAGAUAUUCGGAAGAACACCGAUGGCGAAGGCAGCCAUCUGGACCGACACUGACGCUGAGGCGCGAAAGCGUGGGGAGCAAACAGG
rnacentral:rRNA from 1 species